GUUUCUUACCCGCAAGGGUCCACCUUCAGUGUAAAGUUAAAUUUAGUUUUCAAUCUGUUAGCCCAUUAAAACGUGGAAGAUAUUUUCAAGCUCUAGUUCGUUACUUUCUUUCUUCUUUUCUUUCUUCGCUAAUUUCAACUUCAACAGAGUAUGAAGGUGAAAAUGUCUUCAUCUAGAACUCGUGAGAAGACUAUCAAUAGAGGGAUUAAAUACUAUGUUGGCAGCAACUUGCCUUUGACCCUUGAUGCUACAAAUGAUGAUGAUUUCGUGUCCCUUGUUGCUCCCACAAAUAGUUGUCAACAAGAAAGCACUCGAAUCACCCUCUCGCAGACGAAGAAGGUUGAUAACCUUGUUAAGAAUAUCAAGCCGAGGACUAAGAAAUGUGGUUGACCUGAGAGAGAUAAAGUGAGGUUGAAACUUGUUGAUGAAUAUGAUGAUGAUGAUGCUGCCAAAAAGAAAAAGAAAAAGAGAAAGGUCGUCAAUGUAGCUGAAGGUAGUUCUUAUGCAGUAUUGAAAGAACAAAGGAUAUCUACUCGAUGUAAAUUUAAGGAAAGAAAAUUUCAGUUGAAGAUGAAGUACUGCAACAUUUCUCCUACCAGUAAGGAAAAAUCAAACUUAAACAUUGCUCCAUUUUUUGAACAUAUCAAUGCCGACUAUGUUUCUUCACGGGGUUUGCCUGCUUUUCAGAAUAAUGAUUCUAACAUUCCAUCCCCACCUCAUCCUCGAAAUAUGGAGCAGCAGCCUAAACAACCUCAUCCUCAGAAUAUGCAGCAGCAAUACAUAUUGAGACGCGAUCCUCCGCGAGGGAGAGCAGUGAUGAUUUGAAGGCUGAAGUUAUAGUUGAGGGGUGACAUUUCAAAGCUUACUUAUGCAAUUGCGACACUCAACAUUUACAUCAUAUCUUCCUUUGGAAAAAUAUUCGAGCAUUUGAAAAUUAAGCAAACUAGGGAUGAGGUUCUUGGUUCCGAGUAGAAUCAUCAAGGAAAUGCUGAUGAUGACGGUACAUCUGGGCUAGGCAAUGAUGUUUCCAUAAUUAUGAUUAUGUUCCCUCCACUCCGAGCAAGUGUUUGAACUAAACACAUUGCCUGACCAAACAACGGCAACAACGGCAAGUGUUAAGGGAAAUGAGCAAGUUACUGAUCUUCCCCCCCACCAUCCCUACCCCAAGCAAGUGCAUGAACUAAACACACGAGCUGACCAACCCGCGUCAUGCGUCAAGGGAAAUGAGCACGUUAUUGAUGUGGUAGCAGGUGAUGGUGUUGCCCCCCCCCCCCCCCCCUUCCCGAGCAAGUGCAUGAACUGAACACGCGAGCUGACCAAACUGCGUCAUGUGUCAAGAGAAAUGAGCACGUUAGUGAUGGUCUUCAUGUGGUAGCAGGUGAUGGUGUUUUCCCCCCAAGCAAGUGCAUUAAGUAAACAUGCGAGCUGACCAACCAGAAUCAGGUGUCAAGGAAAAUGAGGAAGUUACUGAUGGUCAUCUUGGUAUUUUGUGAUGUACGUUGUUUUCUUUCUUUCGCUAACUUCAUACUUGUUUGUCAUCUUGUAUUACUCUCUUUUCGCUAUCUAAGUGGCAGCAGGUGAUGGUGUCAAGGGACGAUCUCUGGAAUGCUAUUUGUGAUGAAGAGUUUGCCAAGAUAAAGAUGUCUCAGAUUGCACUUCCUAGACCUUCGAAUUGUAUUAGUGAUGAAGAGUUAUCCAAGAUAAAGUUGUUUCAGAUUGGGCUUCCUAGACCACUCAUCAUGGAAGUAGAAGAAAAAGACGUCACUUUAAAAAAAUUGGUACGAUAGAAAUUUUUAGGGAAAUUAGCCUAAUAUCCAUAUGUAACAACUUUUGAUUCGGAGACAUCCAAGUGUAUUUUUUUUUAUGUCAAGCAUCCUUUCAUGAGCAAUAUUGAUGCAUUUAAUCUCUUGUCACUUUUGGCCUAAGAGUUCUGCAAAUUCGUCGAGGAUGGGAUGCAUAUGUCAUGACGGUAGCUUUACUUGCUUUAAGCUUUUCAUGUUCUAGUUUUUAAACUUAUGUGAGUGUCUUGAUUUUUGUUUUUUUGAUGUUUUUAAGUGCCAAAACCUAUAUCGCGAUGGAAAAAAUGAUCUCCCUAAGAUUUUAUUUUUGGCUCGUGACAUAUAGAUAAAAAGAUUGGUUCGAGGUGCUUGCACAUAGUGGUUGACCUUUGAAAGACACGAAUCAGACACUAUCAGUCACUCUACACAAGCUGUAGGAUAUGAAGGACCACAUAUGUUUUCAGAAG